rnacentral:tRNA from 1 species
UUGGAUCACCUCCUAACAGGGAGACAAACAACGAUUUUGAUGCUGAGUACUUUUAUUCUUAGGCCGAAAUCCUGUCACUUUAGGUCGAUCGGUACCUCAACUUCAAUCCUGUGAGUCGCAAGACUGCACAACGAUUGAUUUUUAGUUCCUAAACGUUGUCUAGGUCACCCCAUAGAGGGUUCACUUCCUGGGCCAUUAGCUCAGGUGGUUAGAGCGCACCCCUGAUAAGGGUGAGGUCCCUGGUUCAAGUCCAGGAUGGCCCAUUCGGUGUUGGGGGUUUAGCUCAGUUGGUAGAGCGCCUGCUUUGCAAGCAGGAUGUCAGGAGUUCGAGUCUCCUAACCUCCACUGACCAAACUGUAUCCCCAUCUCCAAAAGGAAUUGGAGUAUGAAUUCGAUUGGAGUGUGAUUUUAGAUGUGUCCGCUGGAUGACCCCAGCUUCCUGUCAUUCCAAAUGAAAGCAAAAUCGAUUUUGCUGAUUGAAUUUGGUUGAUAAGAUGCUGGGCUCAAGUCAAAUGAUCAAGCAAUUGAUGAUUUGAUUUGAAGUUCUAGCAGAACCUUGACAACUGCAUAGGUAAGUCUGGAAAGAAUAAAGCAUCUCAUGGAUGAUGCGAUGACUCUAGAUGAUGAUCCGAAAGGAUAAUUAAAAGGAGUGAUUGCGAAUUCUAUAGAGCAAGAGCCGAGACUCCAUCACGUUCUUUUGAUUGUGUCGAGCAAUCAAGAGUUUGAUUCUUGAUUUAGAAAUGAAUCAGGGAGAAUCUGUUUCAACGACAGCAAGCGUGUUGGAGAUUAUAUGGUCAAGCUACAAAGGGCUCACGGCGGAUACCUUGGCACACAGAGGCGAUGAAGGA